rnacentral:ncRNA from 1 species
GUAAAGGCAAUGAAGAGGAGUAGUAGCCAUUUACAUGCUUUUCAGAGAGCCGGUGGUUGGUGCGAACCGGUAAGCAUUGUGGUGAACUCGCCUUGGAGCCGCUUCGGUGAUAGGUAGUCGGAGUCGUGAGCCUGCGUUAAAGGCGGAUGAAGGCCUGUUUGUUUUCAGGCGAAUUGGGUGGUACCGCGGAUGGCUCAAAACCUCUGCCCCAAAU